AAGAUUUAAAAGCACAACCUUGAAAGUGUUUUGAAUUUGUCAAUCUGAGGAUUACCAGAUCCACCUUCUAUGUGUAUGGGGGGAGGUGUGUGUGUGUCUGUCUGUGUGUCUGUGUGUCUGUCUGUCUGUCUGUCUGUCUGUGUGUGUGUGCGCGUGUGUGCGUGUGCGCACGUGCUUGCACAUGUAAAUGGCCUCAUGAAAGUGGAGAAAGGAGGCUAUUUGUUAUAGCUUUCAUUUGGGAAUUAAUUGUGCAGCAGCAGUUCAGAUGUAACAGGCCAAAUCCAUGGUAACAAGAAAUCUAUUAAAGGGACAUAGAUUGCUUGUUUCCAGAAGGAACCCUUUAAUAUGGUUCUUAGGUUUCAUUUCAGACCUGUAUCCUCUAGAGGAAAUACUUAGUCUUCCUUGUAAGCAGAUUCUAAAACUGGCUGCAAUCUAUGUAGCUGCUCUCGCCAGAGUGCCUUUAAUCAGAUGCAGAUGUAUGCAACUCAUUGAGAUCCACUGGAGGCACAAAAACUGGGAAUUUGGCCAGCUUACCUCAAAGGCAGGUAAGAAGGAACCGGAGGGAAAGAACCCUGAUGGCUUCUGAGUCUUCCCUGUCCAUCAAAAUGGAGGCAACGCAUGCCAUUGGUGAACCCAGCCCCAUAAAAAUUAAUGGGCUUUACCCGAGAAGUCCUUGAAAAUUCAAGAUCUGAAGCAUCGCUAAAGAGAAAUGUACAGCACAUUAUUCAAAAAUGCUAAAGAGGCUUCCUUCCUAAAAUGAUGCCUUGUUUCCACCAGGGAGUCACCAGCUGUUGAGGAGGAAAACUGAGGCACUUCACCGGGACUCUUUAAAGACUUCACACUUUCUUGUCCUUUAGUUUUUAACCCCGAAGAUAAUGAAUUAUGGAAAGAAUGAGUUAAGACCCUUUCAUUCCAUGGGCAAAACGCAUCGGGGUUGCUUAGUGAAUAGCCGUGUAUUAGACCAGUGGUUCUUAACCUUGGGUUACUCAGGUGUAACCUCAACUCCUGGAAAUCCCAGUCAGCACAGCUGGUGGUGAAGGCUUCUGGGAGUUGCAGUCCAAAAACACCAGAGUAACCCAAGGUUAAGAACCGCUGUAUUAGACAAACUAGAAGAGGAGAGAGCUGGAGUUGCAGGUUGAUAAGGUUUUCUCGUGAGCUUGCCCAUAUUUAAUAACUGAAGAAAGACACGGGCUAAGUGACCCUGUGGUACCAUAGAUGGACAUUUAUCUAAGAAUGUAAAUCAUGAACUGGUUUGUCCUCACAUAGUAACAGGAAGAUGCAAAAAGAAAUCUGCUUUGUGAGACAGUGGGUUGUUCUUUCUGUUCUUUGUUUGGUUUCUGAGAUAAUUUGUGCAUUUGCAGGACUGACUUUCUGUGUCUUUGCACAAACUAAAAACAAUCUAACUGUGGCUCAUAAUGCUCCAGAUGCUUUUAAGAAGGAGAAGGCAUUGUUUGUGGCUUUGUGAGGUAUCAGCCUGCCCUUGUGCACUUUCUAUAUAUCUGUAUCUAGGUUUGGGGUUACCAGACGUUGGAGUUAGGGUGCCGCUCCACCCCAUGAAUGCCCCGGGCUCUUUGCUCUGCCCUGUGGUUGCUGUGGAGUGGCAGAAACAGCCAUGGUUUGGUUUGCAUUUUGGCAUUGGGGGGGGGGAUAUGGUGCAUAUCCCUACGAAACUGUACGAAGACCAUUAGCCCAAUCAUGCUGACAGCAGGUCUCUGGCAUGCUCUUUAUGGAAAAGGUCUUGAACCUUUAGCAUGCAUCUCAAAAACAUGUCCAUGUAGUUGUUGAUCAAUAAUCAUUCACAAUCAUUUACAUUGUAAACUCGGCCAUUCCUCUUUUUGAGUGUGUGGAUGGAAGGAUAGGGAGGUUGUGUACAGUGUGAAAUGUAAUUAUGGGAGUAACAUUUUCCUUCUACCAUCUCUACAUGAAGCUCUUAGCAGAUUAUUUUUUUAAAAAAAGGACAGGAAAUGUAGCUUUCUAUCUGCCAUUCAUCAGUCCCAUGCAAAUAUUCAAUCAAUGCCACUGGCAAUGUUAGCAUCUGAUACAUUGCCAAGAUAACAGUAUCCAAAAUGAGCAGAUGUGUGUGAUAACCCAAAAGCUGUACAAGAUUUUCCCGUCGGUGCCCAUGUUUAAUUUUUUUUAAUCCACUGCUAUCAUUAAAACUGAAAUAAAAUGUUUAAUAGGGCUGCUUUCA
rnacentral:lncRNA from 1 species